CCCUUAGAUGUUCUGGGCGGCCCGCGCACUACAUUGGCACUGGCAACAAGAUCCUAGAUCUGAUAUUUCGGGGUAUUCUACCAACUGGUGUCGUGACUGGGAUUAACCCCUGCAAUUGUUGGUUAUGAACGAGGAAUUCCUUGUAAUCACGGUUUAUCAACCCGUGUUGAAUGCGUCCCUGCCCUUUGUACACACCGCCCGUCGCUCCUACCGAUUGAAUGGUCCGGUGAAGCGUUCGGACCGUGGCCUUUGGACGGUUCGCCGUCUGUUGGCUGCGGGAAGUUCGUUAAACCUUAUCAUUUAGAGGAAGGAGAANUCGUAACA
rnacentral:rRNA from 1 species